CUUUGCCUUAGAGAAAUAAAGAUAUAUGGCUUCCUCCUCCACCACCUAUCGCAUUCUCAUUUGCCUCCUUGUUUUUGCAUCAGGUACGUAUUUGUGUAACACUUGUAAAUUUGUUACAUAUAUUGGGCUUGACUAUACUGGAUAGUAUAGAGAGAAAAUGAAGCCAAAAUCUUAUGAAUAUUUGCAGUGUAAUCUACCAAACAUACCACGAACGCAAUUUUUUUAUUUGAUUUUUUUUUUUUUUUUUUUGGUUUUAGGCAAUUCUCUACACACAUAAAUGUACAAAGACCAGAUUAGUUUCAUUUUUUUAUUCCGAACUGCUAAAGAUGUCCUGUUGAUAUUUUUUUGUAAACAAAUUGUAAAUUAAAUAAAAGUUAAUGGAAUGUAUAGUUGAAAGUUGUGAGGUCCAUAAAAUUUAUAGUUAUAAUUAAUUAUUUAUUUUGACUUCAAUUUAAUCUAACUUUUGAGCUAAACCAAACGAGGCUUUAAUUGAAUUUUGAUUUCGUUUUAGGUAUCUCUUUACACACAUACAUGUACACACACCAGAUUAAUUUGUAUAUUUCUUGCACCUAGUCUGAUUCGAAAUUUAUUAGUUCCAUUUUAUUACUGUUGAUAUUAAUGUGCACAAAUUGUGAAAUUGCAGUUAGCAAAAUCGCCUUGGGGGAGGAAAAUAAAUAUUGCACGUGUACAACUGAACUGGGGCCUUGUGAUGGAGCCAACUGUGCAAAGCGAUGUGCUGCCUCUUUUAAUGGCAAAACUCACAGCUCAUGUACUCGUGCAGGAGGCCCGAAAAUUCCAACUUGUCUUUGUGGCUACAUAUGUGUAUGCUAGACAAAAAGCAGAAUUAGGGCAGAAAUGUUGUCGGUAUUAUAAAUAAGCAUUUAUAUGGGGGUUUUUCUCUUAUGUUUGUCAUAUGCCAGUAUAACUUACAUGAUAUUACAUAUUAUUGGAUACGGGUUGUAGUCGAUAUUGACUAUCAAUUAUACUAUCUUGAAAUAGACGACCCAG
rnacentral:lncRNA from 1 species